CUGUUUUUUUCUCUCUAAAAUUUUAACUGUCCAUUACCCUUCUUUUGUUAUUGCCAGGAUGAUGUCUUCUGUUUAAUAUCAUGAUUAAGUUUGGCCUCUGUAUCAAUUCCUUUUUCUUCUUGAAAUUUCCUUUUUUUUUUAAAUUUUGACAUGUAUUUUCUUUAUUUUUACAAACAGAGGUAGAAGUUUAAUUCACAUUGAAGGGCAACAUGAGCAGUGCUGCUUUACUUUCCUUGUCAUUGUGUGAUGGACACCAGGUCUCCCCACUACACCCGAAAUUCCUGGAGAAAUCACAGGUCUACUGGGUGUAAGAGAGGAAUCAGAUCCAAUGGUGUAAAGAGUAAAGAAUGAGCAGGAGAGGUGCAAGAAGAGAAAAAAACUCAAGAUUCCAGUGAGAGAAGAGAAGCUGAAACUCCAACCACUACUUCACUUCUUCAGCUGAGAGCCUGAAAAGCAGAUCUCCUAAGAUUGGGUCUCUCUGGAGAUCAACUGUUUCCCAGUGAACCCCUGAAUAUCUCUCACUCAAUUUAAGACAUUGUGAACUGGGACUUUGAAGAAAGCCAACUACAGAGUAAUCCUCUCUCCAAAAAUUUAUCCCCAAUCUCUCUCCCUAACUUGUCCUGGACUCUAUAACUCAAGCCAGUUAGCUCAGGAGCAGGGAUCAAAAUAGCAACUGACUGGAAGGGUCAAGGCUGAGAGUUUGAUCCCUGAAAGUUUGGGGGGGUCAGUCUGCCAGUCAAUAGGGCUUCCUCUUUACCCACUUUUCUCAACUUACACCCCUACCUCUUCCUUUCUUGUGUGAAUUCAAAUAAACUGUCUACUACUUAGAAUCAUGUCUGGCUAGUUCCUGCUACUAGGAAAGGGGGUUGCAGAUUUGGGGAGAACCAUACCUGUUCCCAAAGAGGAGGGUUAGUUCAGGAUCUUUGGGAUCUAAACAACCAGAUUCAAGGAGCAAUUCUCUCUCCUACAUUGAGGAAUAAUCUCAGGACUUGGUGGUGAAGUGGCAGUUGGUGUAUGUGAGGGACCCAGAGGCAGAAGAGUCCAUCCUGUCUCUCAACAAUAGCUGGGACCAAAAGGGAAGGCAGUGUGUCAUCUUACCAAAGCUUAUCUCUCUUGUUCUUAAUCUCCACCUCCCAGAACCAUUCUCUGAGGAGAGACAAGACUGGAUUACUUUCCCCCAAAGGGAAGAGAGUUGAAGAGCAAUCUCUUCCCCCUCUCCUCCAUUCUUUCGACUCUUUCUGUGUCUCUCUGUCUCUCUCUGUGUCUCUGUGUCUGUGUCUCUGUGUCUCUCUCUCUCUGUCUCUCUCUCUUCUCUACUCUCGCUCCCUCUCUCUCUCCAUUUCCUUUGUGUGUCUGUGUUCCCUCUCUGGUCAUAAUUACAUGGGUUUCCUUUUUCUCUUUGAAUUCUUUUCCAUUUUUUCAGUUCUAGGGAGUUUAUUUUAGAUGAAAAAAAUUUAGUUCAGUCACAAUUAUUUCAAGUCCCAAGUAGGAAACAUUCCUGAAGUUCAGGCUGAAGUACAAUACUCUGCCUAGAUUUACAUUUAUAUCUAUUGUUAUUUAACCACUGAGAAAAGAAAUUCAAAUUAAUGGAAAGGUUAGAACUGCUGAUUAUAUAAUAGCAUCUUUGUAAAGAAAGACAUUGACUGUAGACUUGCCUCAGCCUAUAUCCUCUACACAACCCUUCUUAAGCCAAGGACUCUCCUUAAUGUCUCCCUCCUCUGGUACAUAUCAAUACUUCCUUUGUUCAAUGCUUGUUUUAGUAUCUUGAGACUAGAUGCCAUAAGUUUUAUCUUUCUCAAAUUGUGAGAAACCUUUUCCCUUUUAUACAAAGUGUUUCGGGGAUCUCUCACACAGUAGCUUUGAUUAAUUUAAGGAAUAUAACAGGCUCUGUUCAAACUCAGUUUGGAAUUUUUAAUUCAAUUUAAAAAAAAGUGUUUGUACCUAAUCAAGUCCCUAUAGGUAAAUGAAAUUAAAACUAGCUAUUACAAAUACCAUCAAGAAUAUAAAUUUUAUUCUUGUAUUAAUUUUACCAGAGGAAGCUAUUUGGAAGAGUGGAUAGAGUGAAGACAUGAGGUAAAAUCAAGCCACAGACACUUAUUAACUGUCAUUUUACAUCUGCCUCUGUUUCCUCAUCUAUAAAUGGGGCUAACAAUAGGACCUGCUUUCCAGUGUUCUUGUUAAGACUGAAGGAUUUAGCAUAGAAAAUGGCACAUAGUAAAUGCAAUAAAAAGUUUUUCUAAUGACAUCUUAAAAAAUAAUAGGCAACAUAACCAUCAGUGUCAGAAGUACUUUCUCAGUUAUAGUAUAAUCACUUAUCUAGAAUAUUUGCUCCCUUUUCCCUCUUUUCUUUGGUAUCUGAUUACCUCACCUCUUUUCUCCUCUUUUUGUGACUUUCUCUUGUUUCUCAAAGAGUUUUAUAUUAAUCUUUUAAAUUAUACAUAUUUCCUCUGUAUUUUUCUCAAUGCACUAUCAGAUUGUCUUUUCUUCUUCAUAUAUACUCUGUUUUAUUUUUUCUGCAUAUAUCAUAUAUAAACUUUUAUAUCAUCAAUAUAUUAUUUUAUCUUACAUGUAUUAUUAAAAUCAAGUAUAUUUA